AGAAACUUUUUGGAUAGCCCCAGUCAUUGCCACAUAAGAAUGACACAACAUGGAUGGAGAAGGUCCAGGAAAAAAUAAAUGAAUGACCAAAAGAUUUGGCAAGCUGCCAUAUGAAGACAGAGAGUCAACAAAACAAAACAAAAUGCCACGGGCUGAAAAGGGAUAUGGUUGAAAUCUAUUAAACUAUUACAGAUGUGGAUGUAUAGCUGGUUCAGCAAAAAUCCCAAAUACCAGACUUUGAGAAUAC
rnacentral:lncRNA from 1 species